rnacentral:sRNA from 1 species
AUGUACCACUCUUACACUCCGGGUCUGAGCGCCGUCAGCACCCACCUGACGACCGCGGGCUACGCUUUGUUAGCC